rnacentral:rRNA from 1 species
UGCGUAGGCGGAUUAAUAAGUCAGUGGUGAAAACCUGCAGCUUAACUGUAGAACCGCCAUUGAUACUGUUAGUCUUGAGUACGGUCAAGGUAGGCGGAAUGUGUAAUGUAGCGGUGAAAUGCUUAGAUAUUACACAGAACACCGAUUGCGAAGGCAGCUUACUGGACCAUUACUGACGCUGAGGCACGAAAGCGUGGGGAGCGAACAGGAUUAGAUACCCUGGUAGUCC